GAUAGGAAGAUUUCAAUCAAAGAAUAUCCUUAUUCCAAUCAAAGGCUCAAUCAUCUAAAUCAUUGGAUUUUGAUCAAGAUUUUCAACCUAAUUCAUGCUCUAUAUAUACUUAAAGUAAUUUAGACAAAAUUCAAGGAUUCGCUGCAAAAGAAACCCCACUCCAAGCUUCAAAAAAUCGUGAAAACAGGGCUACCGAGCAGACAAAGUUUCAGACCAAUUCAGGCAGCUCCAAGCAUCAAACGAGAUUCCUCUUUGCAUUCUGAAUCGAUCCCAAUCACUCUCUGGCAGUGAAGCACCCCGAAUCGCACUCACAUAUUCAUCGUUUUGGUCAGUUUUGUUUUAACUUUGAUUAUAGCCUUGAAUGCAUUAUGAAUGUCGUUUGGUUGUGUAUUAUUAAUAUUCGAGAUGCAUAAAACAUAUCUGGAUAAUUUGAUUUUGUUUUGAUGCAAGAAUCACUAUACACCAUGAUUAGGGUUUUGUGCUUCUUAAAUUGGGAAUUAUGGAUAAGGUCAGUUUCAGGCCGAAUUAAGAGUGUCAAUGGGGUCGGGAGUUCGGGUAGGUUUGAUCUGGGCUGUCGUUUGGCAUUUUUUGGUGUUAAAUUACAGGUUUGAGCAAGGUAGGGCUAUAGCCACGGAUGGUGACUGUAGGUAAAAGGUUGGUUCUGUUUCCAACAAAAUUGAAGGACGAAGAAGAUGAUAUUUUGCAGAUGGCGCGCGCAUGGUUCUUUUUGAAAUUUUAAGUCACGAUUUUUUUAUAUAAUAAAGUUUGUGGCUAUUAAACUAACAUGAAGUCGCUGCAGCGCGUGUGGUUAUGCGCUUUUGUUAGUGAAUGAGAUAACCUGGGUUUGAUCCCCAGGUUUUGUAUUGUUGUUUCCAAAAUAUUUCUUUGCAGAUUGCAUGUGUCUCCCGCGCGAAGGAACACACUGUACCUCACAUCCAGGCCAUAGGAUCUCCCUCAGCAAAGAUCCAACGCAUAUGAAAAUGAGGGUUAGCAACAGGCUUUCUUCCGACUACGCGCCACGCCCAUUACGAAGCUAAGUCCCGAUUUAACCCUUAUUUAAAUAUUUGUUAUUUUAUUUAAAAUUAGGGUUUACCUUCAAAUAUAAUGAACUCCGCCUACACUCACGUCUUUUUCUGUCUGCCUUUAUUUUUACCCAUUUUUCAGGGUUAAACACGAGGCUACCCCGAGACUGCCAACCAUAUCAGAUCAAAUCAAAAGCUAAGUCUUUUCUAUGUUUUUGUUUUCUUUUUGCCUUUUUUAUUUAAUUAGGGUUAGCCUUGAUUGUCAGUGAAUUGAUAAUGCACUCACCCCUUCGCGUUUAUUUUUCCUUUUCCAAUUUUCAGGGUCAGUCAGCCAGUCAGAGCUCGAGUGUUCGGUAACCCUGAAAUUCACCUUUUUUAUUUUCUUAUUAUUAUUAUUACUUAUGCCAAACCCUAUUGCGCUAUGAAUUCGCUGGUUUCUUUUUCCCCUUCCCCAUAUUGCUAUUGUUACUGUUUAUAUUAAUUGAUGUGGUUAGUAACCCUAGGGAGUGAAAACCAUUUAAUUGAAUUAGAAUCACCUAAUUACAAGAUAAAUAUCUGAAUCGAUCACGUGAUUGUUGCACCCACGCACACUUUUUGGGUAACCUCUUUGCUGCCUGUUGCCUUGUUGCCUUGUGUAUUUUUUGCAGAAUAGCCAUGUCCCUCGAAUAUGAGGAUACCCCAGCCAUGUUGCCUCGAUAAAUACAAAAGUCAUAAGACCCUAAUGAUGCUGCCUUCGAUACACCAAUAUGACCUCGACCCUCGGAAGUUGCCUACGAAAAGGCUGAGGUAUCCUCUGGCUGCCUAUGAAAGGUUAUUCUGGUCCUUCCCUUAGACUACCUGUCUCUCUAUGACAUGGGACAGUCUUAUGGUGAACGACAUUGCGACGAUCCUUCAACCUCCAAAUGAAAGGCUUCCUGCCCUCUUAUGGCAUGGAUAGACCCUUUCACCUUGAAAGGCUAAAAGAACAUUUUUCAUCUAACCAGGUAAUUGCCCCUAGUUGCUUUGCCUUGCUCUAAAAAUCUUUUCAUAAUCUUUCCCAUAAAACUUCAAAAUGCUACGCUUAUUUACAAACUAAAGUCUUAUUUCUUUUCUACACUUUCUUCCUUCAAAAGAGCAAAGAAAUUAAGAGCCCAUGGAAAACCAUGGAUGCAAAGGGUGCCUUACACCUUCCCUUUGCAUAAAUUACCCCCCGAACUCAGUUUUUAUUUAAAAGGUUUUUCCUGUUCUUUUACCCUUUCUGAUAUAUUUGGAUAAAAUAAAAGUCGGUGGCGACUCUUGCUAUCCGCGACAUUUUCGAUUAUAAAAGUCAGUUCACCGUAUUACACUUUCCAUCAUGUAUUUUAUCUUUCAUUUAAAGGUAUUGGGAUUUAAGGUUUAGGGGCGAAUACAUUAUACACAUAUAGCAAAUAUCAAAUAAUUAUAACAACAACAAUGUCCAAUCUCGAAAUGCUCGAAUUAAUGAGCGUACCGUUUAAUUCCAAGAGCUAUUAGGUCACUACAAUGAAUCUUCUAUCAUAUAAAAAAAGUCUCCCUUUUCCUCAAUCAUCAAGCAUUCCACAUCAGCAAAUGCUCUCUCAAUUUUCCACAUCAGCAUCCUUAAAAUUAACUUCUUCUUCCACUAUUAUUCGGCAGUUACAUCCUUCUGUUCUUCAAUUUCCACUAUCCUUAUAACUGCCCUUAAAUCCAUCCUCUUCCAAAUUCCAAAACCGUUCCAAAAAAUGUUAUUGCAGCCCCAUUAUUCUUCUUCUUUCACGAUUCAUUCAUGUUUUUCCGCCUCCAUUCAUGUUCUUUGGCGUGUCCGCGAUUCCGAUUGGCUUCUGCUUUCAUUUUUGUAUGUUAUUAUUUUUCUGUGUUGUGCAAUGAACACGGUUUGAUGAUGUUUCUGAGAAGUUUCAUUCGCGUUUGCACAUGUGGUGUUCGAUUUUGAAUGUUUGAUGAUGAAUGUAUAGUUGAAACAACUUUGAAUCGGCAAAGCUGGGUGAGAUCUUUCUGAGUUUAUGCUAUUUUCUCUUUAAUCUCUCUUCUUCUCUCUCAAACUUUCUGCUUUAUAUUCUCCAUUUAAAUCUGAUUUAGGUGUAUUAAUGUUGCUUAAUUUAGUUUUAUUUUUCGAAUAAAUUAGUAGGCCACCAUGUUUGUUAUAAUGAUUGAAGAUUGGUGGAGAAUGGAAGAGAAUUGAUUCAAGAUUGAAGGUGUUAUGAGGUUAGUUUUCUAUUAUGGAAGUUUGUUACCGAUAUUCUUAUGGAUCAUCGCAGUUGGAAUGGAAAACUAUUCAUAUUUUUAAUGUUAGGUCCAAUGAGGUAGCUAACUUACAAAUUAAGGAGAUCCAAAUUUUAGUUACAUAAUUUCAUUAAUAAUAUUUAUCUGAGAUUAUGCGGAUUGAUCGGUUCUUUGUAGUAUUUUGAUUUUGUUUAUGCUUUGAAUUUCAUGUCGUGGUAUGUUUCAAUUUGGUUUUCUCCGAUUAAGCUAAUGGUUCAUACGUGCACCUAUUUACAAUUCGCUUUUAUGUUGUAUAAAUCUUAGAUUUCAACAAUAUAGACCACUAAUAAGAUUUUCAUAACUCUCUCAUUUCUUUCUGAUUUCUUCGUCUUCUCUCUCUUUCAAGUUUGAUUUUGAUUUAAUUUUCAACGUUUCAGUUUUCAUGGUGUUAGCUCACGUGGAAGGGGAAAGAUCCAUCGCCGAUGCAGUUUUUGAUGAUGCAUUGGUGUUUGUUAUUACUUUGAAUGAUUUGUUAAAUUCUGUUUGGAUAAGCUGUGACCUGAUUUUGAUGUAGGUUUAUGCAGGAUUUCAAUUGAAAUGCCGAAUUGAUUGUUUUAUCGAAUGAAUAAUUCUGUUAUAGCUGACUCAAGGAAGAGAUUCAAGUUGCGAAUGAUAUCGCCUAUGAUGUGGUACAAAAAGAAAUUCAAGGUGACAUUUUUUUACUCGCUUGCAUCGCUUGAGGACAAGCAAUGAGAUAAGUUUGGGGUUGUGAUCGGUCACCAUUUUACACUCAAUUUCAUCAUCAAUUCGACACACGAUCGUCAUGUUUGUAACACUUUGUGUUUGUAUUCAAUUGUUUUCUUUAAUUUUCUAGUUGUAGUUUAUUUGUUUGCAAUUUGUUUUUGUGCCAUUUUCAUUGUCAAUUAGGUGCUUUUGAUCUCGUUUGGUAAUGGUUUCAGGUUAGCUUCAGAUUGAUGGAAGUUCGCAUGUCCAAAAGGUGCGCAAAAAGGAAGCAAGAAGCAAAAAUGAGCAAGGAGGCAGUGGCGGACACGGUCGGACCAUGUCGCCUGACACGGUCGGGUCAGGCCUUCUGAAGAAUCCUCCUUCCCAAGACCAGAAGCUGACACGGUCUGCCCGUGUCAUGUGACACGGUCGUGUCAGCGUUGCGAACUGAAUUUCUGAUUUUUUAACUUGUACAAUUUUAAAGUUCCGGGGGCAAUUUGGGUAUUCCGGCUGAGAUCUGAAAACCUAGAGGGAUUAAAAGAGGAUUGAGAGACAAGGAGAAGACACUUUUGAUCGUACGAUAGAAUUCUAGAAGAGGGCAAGAUAGCGUUAUCAAAGUUUUGGAAGACGAAGAGAUUCAACGGUGGACACCAUUGAAGAUCAGAGUUCUCCUAAUUUUUGUAAUGUCUAAACUCUUUAAUUUUGGUUUCUUGAAUAUUAUGAGAGGCUAAACCCCCCAAUGCCAGGGGGUGUCCCUGAUUAGAAUUGUAAUGACUAUGAUUUCCGUAUUUCUUUAAUCAAG